rnacentral:lncRNA from 1 species
GGCACAGGGACACGGGAUGGAGCCAGUUCCCUUGAAUAGUUGCGUAUAAGGUACAUACAGCUUCUUCGAACAGCUAUCAUGAUUAGCCAAAGGAUCGUCAUUGUAGCCAUCAUGGUCGUAAUCUUUAUGAUUGCGAUGGCCAGCGCACAAUUCGGCCCUGUCUACCCCCCUGGCUACGGAGUCGCCGCGCAGCCAGCGCAACCCGCGCAGCCAGUGUACGCCGCUGUACCUGUGCGGCCAAUCUACAAGGGACCCUUCGGCGGCAUGAGCCCGUACGCCUACGGACUUGGACGGCGCUGAGCGUUUCCAGCUCACCAGGGCCACUGUUGCCGCCCUCGAAAAUUCAGAAGUAUACACCUCUGAUCUACUACAGGGAACACGUACAACCUUAUCCUCACCUGCAACUAAGCGUCCACAUCAUGCGCUCCACAACAAGCCAUUUCUCGUGUCUUGCUUGUCGGCGAAGUUCUGAUGAUGUAUUUCGAAAUAAAUAAAUUCGUCACUAUUUCCCCUGCA